rnacentral:rRNA from 4 species
AAAUUGAAGAGUUUGAUCAUGGCUCAGAUUGAACGCUGGCGGCAGGCCUAACACAUGCAAGUCGAACGGUAGCACAGAGAGCUUGCUCUCGGGUGACGAGUGGCGGACGGGUGAGUAAUGUCUGGGAAACUGCCUGAUGGAGGGGGAUAACUACUGGAAACGGUGGCUAAUAC